rnacentral:rRNA from 1 species
GGUUUCUUGUGUUUAUAGGAAAUUUAACCUGCCCACUGAAUAUAUAUUUUGAAGGGCCGCAGUAUUUUGACUGUGCAAAGGUAGCAUAAUCAUUAGUCUUUUAAUUGAGGGCUGGUAUGAAUGGUUGGACGAGACAAAAACUGUUUUAUAUUAAUUUGAUUUGAAAUUAGAAUUUGAGUAAGAAUACUUAAAUUUUGUUAAGGGACGAGAAGACCCUAUAGAGUUUAAUAUAAAUAAUUUUGAUUAAGUUAUUAAUGAAUUUUUGGUUAGUUAUUUAAUAUAUUUUGUUGGGGUGAUUGAAAGAUAUAAGAAACUCUUUUUAAUUAUAUAUAGUAUUGUUAAUAAAAUGAUCCAUUAUUUAGUGAUUAUAAGAUUAAAUUACCUUAGGGAUAACAGCAUAAUAUCUUUUGAGAGUUCAAAUUGAGAAAGGGGAUUAUGACCUCGAUGUUGGAUUAAGAUGAAUUUUGGGUGUAGAUGUUUAAUGAAUUAGGUCUGUUCGACCUUUAAUUUCUUACA